rnacentral:rRNA from 1 species
AAUACAGAGGGUGCGAGCGUUAUCGGAUUUACUGGGCGUAAAGCGCGCGUAGGUGGCUAAUUAAGUCAAAUGUGGAAUCCCCGAGCUUAACUUGGGAAUUGCAUUCGAUACUGGUUAGCUAGAGUAUGGGAGAGGAUGGUAGAAUUCCAGGUGUAGCGGUGAAAUGCGUAGAGAUCUGGAGGAAUACCGAUGGCGAAGGCAGCCAUCUGGCCUAAUACUGACACUGAGGUGCGAAAGCAUGGGGAGCAAACAGGAUUAGAUACCCUGGUAGUCCAUGCCGUAAACGAUGUCUACUAGCCGUUGGGGCCUUUGAGGCUUUAGUGGCGCAGCUAACGCGAUAAGUAGACCGCCUGGGGAGUACGGUCGCAAGACUAAAACUCAAAUGAAUUGACGGGGGCCCGCACAAGCGGUGGAGCAUGUGGUUUAAUUCGAUGCAACGCGAAGAACCUUACCUGGCCUUGACAUACAGAGAACUUUCCAGAGAUGGAUUGGUGCCUUCGG